GAUGAACGCUGGCGGCGUGCCUAAUACAUGCAAGUCGAGCGAACGGACGAGAAGCUUGCUUCUCUGAUGUUAGCGGCGGACGGGUGAGUAACACGUGGAUAACCUACCUAUAAGACUGGGAUAACUUCGGGAAACCGUAGCUAAUACCGGAUAAUAUUUUGAACCGCAUGGUUCAAAAGUGAAAGACGGUCUUGCUGUCACUUAUAGAUGGAUCCGCGCUGCAUUAGCUAGUUGGUAAGGUAACGGCUUACCAAGGCAACGAUGCAUAGCCGACCUGAGAGGGUGGUCGGCCACCCUGGCACUGAGACACGGUCCACACUCCUACGGGAGGCAGCAGUAGGGACUCUUCCGCAAUGGGCGAAAGCCUGACGGAGCAACGCCGCGUGAGUGAUGAAGGUCUUCGGAUCGUAAAACUCUGUUAUUAGGGAAGAACAUAUGUGUAAGUAACUGUGCACAUCUUGACGGUACCUAAUCAGAAAGCCACGGCUAACUCCGUG
rnacentral:rRNA from 1 species